AGAGUUUGAUUAUGGCUCAGGAUGAACGCUGGCGGCGUGCCUAAUACAUGCAAGUCGAACGAAUCUCUUUUAGAGAUGAGUGGCGAACGGGUGAGUAAUACAUAGGUAACCUGCCCCUGUGCGGGGGAUAACAGGAGGAAACUCCUGCUAAUACCGCAUAGCCAUGAGCACCGCAUGGAGCUCAUGCCAAAUAUCCUUUCGGGGAUAGCGCAGGGAUGGACCUAUGGCGCAUUAGCUGGUUGGCGGGGCAACGGCCCACCAAGGCAACGAUGCGUAGCCGGCCUGAGAGGGCGGACGGCCACAUUGGGACUGAGACACGGCCCAG
rnacentral:rRNA from 1 species